GACGAACCGUGCGAACGUUGUUCGGAAUCACUGGGCUUAAAGGGCGCGUAGGCGGGCUGCCAAGUCUGGGGUGAAAUCCCACGGCUCAACCGUGGAACUGCCUCGGAUACUGGCGGCCUCGAGGGGGGUAGGGGCGUGCGGAACUGUGGGUGGAGCGGUGAAAUGCGUUGAUAUCCACAGGAACUCCGGUGGCGAAGGCGGCACGCUGGACCUUCACUGACGCUGAGGCGCGAAAGCCAGGGGAGCAAACGGGAUUAGAAACCCCAGUAGUCC
rnacentral:rRNA from 1 species